rnacentral:rRNA from 1 species
CACGUAGGGUGCGAGCGUUGUCCGGAAUUAUUGGGCGUAAAGAGCUCGUAGGCGGUGUGUCACGUCGGCCGUGAAAACCUGCAGCUUAACUGUGGGCGUGCGGUCGAUACGGGCAUCACUGGAGUUCGGCAGGGGAGACUGGAAUUCCUGGUGUAGCGGUGAAAUGCGCAGAUAUCAGGAAGAACACCCGUGGCGAAGGCGGUUCUCUGGGACGGUACUGACGCUGGAGACGCGAAAGCGUGGGGAGCGAACAGG